UAAGCGUGCGCAGGCGGUUAUAUAAGACAGAUGUGAAAUCCCCGGGCUCAACCUGGGAACUGCAUUUGUGACUGUAUAGCUGGAGUGCGGCAGAGGGGGAUGGAAUUCCGCGUGUAGCAGUGAAAUGCGUAGAUAUGCGGAGGAACACCGAUGGCGAAGGCAAUCCCCUGGGCCUGCACUGACGCUCAUGCACGAAAGCGUGGGGAGCAAACAGGAUUAGAUACCCUUGU
rnacentral:rRNA from 1 species